rnacentral:rRNA from 1 species
CCUACGGGAGGCAGCAGUGAGGAAUAUUGGUCAAUGGCCGGAAGGCUGAACCAGCCAAGCCGCGUGAGGGAGGAAGGCGCAGAGCGUCGCAGACCUCUUUUGUCGAGGGACAAAAGGACGGACGGGUCCGGUUCUGAGGGUACUCGGAGAAAAAGCAUCGGCUAACUCCGUGCCAGCAGCCGCGGUAAUACGGAGGAUGCGAGCGUUAUCCGGAUUCAUUGGGUUUAAAGGGUGGGUAGGGGGGGCUUUAAGCCGGGGGUGAAAGUGGGGGGCCCAACCGCCGCGGAGCCAUGGAAACUGGCAGCCUUGAGUGCGGCGGAGGCAUGCGGAAUGCGCGGUGUAGCGGUGAAAUGCAUAGAUAUCGCGCAGAACCCCGAUUGCGAAGGCAGCGUGCUGUGCCGCCACUGACGCUGAGGCACGAAAGCGCGGGGAUCGAACAGGAUUAGAUACCCCAGUAGUC